rnacentral:rRNA from 1 species
AGCCCCAGUAAACGGCGGCCGUAACUAUAACGGUCCUAAGGUAGCGAAAUUCCUUGUCGGGUAAGUUCCGACCCGCACGAAAGGCGUAACGAUUUGGGCACUGUCUCAACGAGAGACUCGGUGAAAUCAUAGUACCUGUGAAGAUGCAGGUUACCCGCGACAGGACGGAAAGACCCCGUGGAGCUUUACUGUAGCCUGAUAUUGAAAUUCGGCACAGCUUGUACAGGAUAGGUAGGAGCCUUUGAAACGUGAGCGCUAGCUUACGUGGAGGCGCUGGUGGGAUACUACCCUAGCUGUGUUGGCUUUCUAACCCGCACCACUUAUCGUGGUGGGAGACAGUGUCAGGCGGGCAGUUUGACUGGGGCGGUCGCCUCCUAAAAGGUAACGGAGGCGCUCAAAGGUUCCCUCAGAAUGGUUGGAAAUCAUUCAUAGAGUGUAAAGGCAUAAGGGAGCUUGACUGCGAGACCUACAAGUCGAGCAGGGUCGAAAGACGGACUUAGUGAUCCGGUGGUUCCGCAUGGAAGGGCCAUCGCUCAACGGAUAAAAGCUACCCCGGGGAUAACAGGCUUAUCUCCCCCAAGAGUUCACAUCGACGGGGAGGUUUGGCACCUCGAUGUCGGCUCAUCGCAUCCUGGGGCUGUAGUCGGUCCCAAGGGUUGGGCUGUUCGCCCAUUAAAGCGGUACGCGAGCUGGGUUCAGAACGUCGUGAGACAGUUCGGUCCCUAUCCGUCGUGGGCGUAGGAAAUUUGAGAGGAGCUGUCCUUAGUACGAGAGGACCGGGAUGGACAUACCUCUGGUGUACCAGUUGUCGUGCCAACGGCAUAGCUGGGUAGCUAUGUGUGGACGGGAUAAGUGCUGAAAGCAUCUAAGCAUGAAGCCCCCCUCAAGAUGAGAUUUCCCAACUUCGGUUAUAAGAUCCCUCAAAGAUGAUGAGGUUAAUAGGUUCGAGGUGGAAGCAUGGUGACAUGUGGAGCUGACGAAUACUAA